GGCGAUAUAUCCUAGUGGUCAACGGAGUGUGACUCAAGAUUGUUAUCUUGGCCGCCUCAGCGUGCUUCACAUGCAUUUGCUUCGCUGGUUCGAAUCCUGCUGUCGUCA